rnacentral:rRNA from 1 species
AUAAACGCUGGCGGCGCACAUAAGACAUGCAAGUUGAACGGACUUAAUCGAAAUAUUUCUAUUUUGAAGCGGUUAGUGGCGGACUGGUGAGUAACGCGUAAGGAACCUGCCUAUUAGAGGGGAAUAACAGUGAGAAAUCAUUGCUAAUACCGCAUAUGCCAUAGAUAUCACAUGAUAACAGUGGGAAAGGAGCAAUCCGCUAAUAGAUGGCCUUGCGUCUGAUUAGAUAGUUGGUGGGGUAACGGCCUACCAAGUCGACGAUCAGUAGCCGGACUGAGAGGUUGAACGGCCACAUUGGGACUGAGCUACGGCCCAGACUCCUACGGGAGGCAGCAGUCGGGAAUAUUGCGCAAUGGAGGAAACUCUGACGCAGUGACGCCGCGUAUAGGAAGAAGGUUUUCGGAUUGUAAACUAUUGUCGUUAGGGAAGAGAAAGGACAGUACCUAAGGAGGAAGCUCCGGCUAACUACGUG